ACCGACUCUCGGCAACGAAUUUCUCGGCUCUCCAUUCGAUAAAAAACGUACCAAAAUGCAAUACUUGGUGUGAAUUGCAAAAUCCCGGGAACCAUCAUUUCUUUGAACGCAAGUUGCGCCCGAACCCAUUAGGCCGAGGGAACGUCUGCCUGGGCGUCCC
rnacentral:rRNA from 1 species